AAGUGAAAAUGGGAAGAAAUAUCAAAAUAAUUCAGAGUUUCUGAGCUACUGCUUCACAAACAUUUGAUCUGAUGUAAACAAAAACAAACAGCUUAGGAAAAUUACAUAUGAAUAUAUGAAUGUAUAAAUAUGUGAACAUAAACAUGCAAACAUAUUUAACACAUGAAUUUAUUCAACAUAUAUACCUGUAAACGUGUUACCUGCCAGCAGAAACAGUAGGAAGCAGAAAGUCUUCAUGUCUGUUUUGUUGUGAUGGUCCAGAUGCUGAUUAACUGAUAGACUGACUGACUGCAGCUAUUUAAGUCUCUUUCUAACUUCCUCUUUUGCUACCCAACAGCUAUUUUCUAACUUCCUGCUCAUCGACUCUUCAUUUCUGCUGCUGUGUUGCUGAUUUUCAUCAGAAGUGACGCAGACGAGUUGCUUCUGAGGAAUAACAGUGAACAUCUGCAGCUUCCAUCACAGCUUCAUGUUGAAACGUCACAGCUCAUCACAUCAAAUCUGCAGAAUAAUCAGAUUUAUUCAUUAAAAUUUGACAACGCUGGUGUCAGCAGUUCUUUAAACAUUAUAGAUACUGAAGAAUCAAUAAGCUCCAAUAUUAAAUGUUCUGUUGUUGGUUUUUUAUAAGUUAGAAGAACUUUUUGUUGCACGUUGAUCUAUGAAGCAUUUUCAUUUUCCCAAACUAUGUGAAGAAUUAACUGAUUGACUUGAAACCGUAAUUUGAAACCACACAUUGAUCAGAUCAAGCUAACAAAUACUGAGACUGACACUGUUUUUGGUCCGUACGGAUCUGGUAAUUGGAUUUUCCGUUCUGAAGCGGGUAUUGAAAAACAAAAAACGAGUGGUUAUUUGAUUUUCGUUUUAAAAUAGAAAAAUUAAAAUUGAAAUACAAGGCGUUUUUCCUUUUCAUGAUCAAAAAGGGAUAUACGAAAUUUUAAAAAUGCUUUGAUUUUCAUUUUAUAUUUACAAUAACAAAAAAAAGAAAAUCAGCAAGAGACAGAAACAAAAAAAGGUCCGUUUUUUUUUAUUUUCUGGGACCGGAAAUGGUCAUCAGCAAGUGUGGAGCCAAACGACAACAAGAUUCUCAGAGGGCGGAGCCAGAGAGCAGUGAUUGGUCAGACCAAAGAUAGAAGACAGCACGCUAGCGUAUCUAGUCUGUGUUUAUCUAUGGUCGGCACGUCUGGUAGCAUCUCUGGCUGCUGUUGACCUUGUUUUUGGAGUAAAACACGGUGGAAGCUGAAUUAGUGAGGAUGACUCCUGCUCCUGUCAUCUCUAAGCUCCUCACACAUCUUUACCUGCACAUGAGGAAAAUCACUCCUGUAGAAUGCAGAUGUUCAGAGGGAGAUGAUGCCACAUCUGGUCCAGCUGAUGGAAGGUCUUGAAGUUCUCUGACUGGCCUCGACUGAAGAUGGUCGUCUCACUGGAUUUAAGGUUCAGAUGCUCAGUAACAAACUCCACCAAUGAGCCAACAAGGAAGCUUUAGGUUUAUUAAAUGUUGCUAUGAAGGUUUCGCUGUUUUUCUUUGUGAAUGCAAUGUGCUCCAACUGAAACUUGAAUUAGAACUUAGAAGUAAAUCCUUCCAUCUGAAAGGAUUUAGUUGCAUUAAUAACCUCAUAACAUUAUAAUUUUUCUUCCAGUCUUGGUUGGAAAUAGAAUCUCUGUAUUGAUUCAGUUAAAAACUGAACUUCACAGCAUGUUGAAGCAAAACAACCAGAUGAAAACUGUGAUGGUGUUGGAUUGUCAGACCGUAAUGUUGCAGCUCAAAGCAGCUUUUCUAUCUCAGUUCAUUCUGACAUUCAGCUAUGAAUCAACACAGCAGAUGGUGAUCCAUGCUGUGAAAGUCUCACAUCUCCUGAUUUAAUGGAGCUGCUUUGCACUUUUUACACUGUUUAUUCACCAACACUUUAUUUAAUAAAAGUCCCAUCUAGUUUUUAUGAGGAAUGUGAUGUUUUAAUUUCUCUGUGAAUAACUGCAGUCUAAUGCAACAGCUGGAGUUGUAACAUCUGUCCUGAUAUUGAUCAUGAAGUAUUGAUCAGAGUACUUAUGGUCAGCAGUCAUCCCUGAAGUUUUAUAUUAAAAUCUUUACUUGUGUUGUGAACUUUGGUAAGAAGCAGAAACGUUAGCGUUGCCAUGGAUACAUGAGUGUUAAAUUCUGUCCAUGUUUCCAUUUUGGGAAAUUCAGUCCAGUUCCAGAAUGUGGAGGAAUUUAGUCUCACAAUCACAGACAACAAAUAUUAUCUGAAAGUCGGGUUAUUGUUGUUUAUCAGCACAAUACAAAAAGAUUAAUGUUAGAAAUAUUCCAGUUCAGACUCUAGAAUAUCAUGAUUUAUGUAAAUUUACCUCAAUAAUAUGAAUGUUCAGGUUAAGAUUGUACAGUGAUAUUUAUUAUGUAAGUUUAGCUGAUUAAAGUUUAUAACUCUGCACUGAAGUAUUAUUUAAAUUGACAUCAUUAUUAUGAUAUUUAGGGUCAGACCCUACAGUAUUGAGAUUAAGAAAUCAAAUAUUCUAUGAAAUGUAAAUACACUGAACUCAUUUGGAUAUAUUUAAGUGAGACUCUACAAUAUUAUUUGACACAAAUCUAUCUAAAUCAAAAUUUUAAUAAUUUUCACACCAAACAUUUACUGAUUUAAACAUUAAAAUCACUCCUUUCUAAUCCUCUGCUAUACUUUCAAACCUGAGGCCUUAAAUAGAAACACACAAGGAUCUGAUUGAAGGAACUUCUGCAGAGUCCUGGUUCCAGAACAUGAUGAUAGAAUUAUAGACAAACUUUAACAAAAGCUGCCUGAGAGUUUACAGGUUUUUAUUUAUGGAUUUCUUCAGUAAUUUAAUGAGUGUUAUCAGCAAUAAUCAAGUGUUCAUUUGAUGAACUUCAUUUCCUAAAACAUACAGAAUUGGAGCUCAUAUCUUUGGCAGCUGUAAAGUUUCUGCUCCUUCAAAGUUCACAACACAAUGAAUGAAUUCCUAAAACACUCUCAGUGUUGGAGAGCGUUUGUGAUGCUGAAGCAGUGAUCAGUUUUUCUGUUUCUUCUCUGGAGAUGCACAAUGAGGGACGUCUGCAGAGACUGAGAAAGAGUCUCACCACAUCCUGACAUGAGGAAAAAGACUUUAUUGAAGACUACAAUGAGAAAAACUAUCAGACAGCAGACGGCUGCAUUCAAGGUGAGCUCUGAACAUUUGAUCUGGAACAGGAAUUCAAUAACUGCAGCAUGAGCUUCAUUUCAGUCUGUAGCUGCUGAAUUCAUGGAUGAACCAUCUGGCACUAGAGAGGAAGACCAUCAAACAUCCACAUCAGCUGAUGGAGGUCCAAGAGUCUCACCAAACAAACAACCUACAGAGUGAAGACCUCAAAUCUGAUUGGAUGGCCUCCUAUUCAGCCACGUGUGAACAAAUGCCUCUAAGUUGAUUUGUUUUCUAAAAUAAAUCUAGUUUGAGUCCUAA